UGCGGCCUGGUGCGAGUAGUGACGAAGGCGGCUUGUUGCGGACUGGUAGUGGCGAUGCUAGGGUUUGGAAACGUCAAUGGAGGAUUUGCGAUGAUGGCUGAAGAUGACGGCGAUUUGUGGUUUUGAUGGUGGUGGCCAUGGUGACUCGCGACUGACGUUGAGGUUGAGGUGGUGGAGAUAGGGUUUGACGGUGCUAGGAUGGACGUUAUGUUGGGAUAAACUUAAAUUUUAGAGAUUUAUUAUUUUAUUAGUUUU
rnacentral:lncRNA from 1 species